CUGCUGACCAUUCAUAGUCUCUCCUCCUCCCCACCCUCAAUCCCUGCUUGGCAGAGGACAGGAAGGUCCAGUUGUUUGCAAAUCACAUGCUGUCUGAAAAUGACUACUCUAAUAAGGAAGACCUGGAAAAGCAAGCAAGAGUCCGAAGUCUCAUGGUGCUGGAUCUGGUGAGAAAGAUGGAUGAGGACAUAGCGUCAUGUUUUUAUGAGCCUGCCUUUCUGUUGGAUGGCACUUGGCAGCAGCAUUCACUG
rnacentral:lncRNA from 1 species